ensembl:lncRNA
UGGGGGUGUGAGGGAGGUUGUGAAUACUGUGAUAUUGAAGGGUGGGGGUGUGAGCGAGGUUGUGAAUACUGUGAUAUUAAAAAGAAGGGGGUGUGAGGGAGGUUGGAAUACUGUGAUAUUAAAGGGAGGUGGUGUGAGAGAGGUUGUGAAUACUGUGAUAUUGAAGGGUGGGGGUGUGAGGGAGGUUGUGAAUACUGUGAUAUUAAAGGGAGGUGGUGUGAGGGAGGUUGUGAAUACUGUGAUAUUAAAAAUAAAUGGGUGUGAGGGAGGUUGGAAUACUGUGAUAUUAAUGAGAGGGGUGUGAGGGAGGUUGGAAUACUGUGAUAUUAAUGAGAGGGGUGUGAGGGAGGUUGGAAUACUGUGAUAUUAAUGAGAGGGGUGUGAGGGAGGUUGUGAAUAUUGUGCUAUUAAAGGGAGGGGGUUAGAGAGAUUGUGAAUACUGUGAUAUAAAAUGUAAGGGGUAUGAGAGAGGUUUUGAAUAUUAUGAUAUAAAAGGGAGGGGUUGUUGUUGUGAAUACUGUGACAUUAAAGGGAUGGGGG